AACAACUCACCUGCCGAAUGAACGGGCCCUGAAAAUGGAUGGCGCUCAAGCGGGGAGCCGACACCACGUCGUCCCUACCAACAAUGGCUUUUUCUAUCCGGGAUGAGUAGGGGGAACGCGCUGGUUGUAUUGAAGCGUACGGGCGACUGUGCGUGGAACGGCCAGUGAUGCAGAUCUUGGUAGUAGUAGCAAAUAUUCUUGUUCAAACCUUGAAGGACGACGCGGGGAAGGGUUCCACACCAACAUUGCUUGAGUGUGGGUUAGCCGUUCCUAACCCUGUGAGGUAAUUGCCUAGGAUCGGGGAAAGGGAAGCAGGUUAAAAAUCCUGCGCACGGAGAUGGUGGCGGUGACGCCCGUCGGGUAGGUGACGUUGGCGAUAGCACUGGGCAGAGUUAUCUUUUCUGUUUAAUUGCGCGAAUGUGUUCUGUGGAGUCCGCUUGUCGGGAGAAGCAGGCACGAUAGGGCAAAAGCGUCGGUGAAAUUCCGGCGUCCAGUAAGCUGUCGACAAACCUUGAAAAGCCUAUGUCCGGGGCAAAGUGGUUUUAGAGGAGUUCUUUCUCUUUAAUAUGCUUUGCUUGUAUAAAACCAUCCCGUAACGUACCCAAAACCGCACCAGGUCCCCAAGGUGAACAGCCUCUUUUCAAUAUGGGUAAU
rnacentral:rRNA from 1 species